GAGUGGAGUUACGGAACCACUUAAAAAAACGAGGCGUUAUCUGAAAAGCCAAACGAGUAAGGAAC
rnacentral:ncRNA from 1 species